ACUCCUACGGGAGGCAGCAGUAGGGAAUCUUCCACAAUGGGCGCAAGCCUGAUGGAGCAACACCGCGUGAGUGAAGAAGGGUUUCGGCUCGUAAAGCUCUGUUGUUAAAGAAGAACACGUAUGAGAGUAACUGUUCAUACGUUGACGGUAUUUAACCAGAAAGUCACGGCUAACUACGUGCCAGCAGCCGCGGUAAUACGUAGGUGGCAAGCGUUAUCCGGAUUUAUUGGGCGUAAAGAGAGUGCAGGCGGUUUUCUAAGCCUGAUGUGAAAGCCUUCGGCUUAACCGGAGAAGUGCAUCGGAAACUGGAUAACUUGAGUGCAGAAGAGGGUAGUGGAACUCCAUGUGUAGCGGUGGAAUGCGUAGAUAUAUGGAAGAACACCAGUGGCGAAGGCGGCUACCUGGUCUGCAACUGACGCUGAGACUCGAAAGCAUGGGUAGCGAACAGGAUUAGAUACCCCUGGUAGGAUAGCG
rnacentral:rRNA from 1 species